GAUGAACGCUGGCGGCGUGCUUAACACAUGCAAGUCGAACGGAAAGGCGCUGCUUUCGCGGGGUGCCCGAGUGGCGAACGGGUGUGUAACCUGUGAGUAUCCUGGCUUUGACUUUGGGAUAACUUCAGGCAAGUGGGGCUAAUACCGGCUAGGUGAUGCUGAUGCAUGGUGGGGGUCGGAACGUUUGGGCGGUUUGGGAUGGACUCGCGGCUUAUCAGCUUGUUGGUGGAGUAGUGGCUUACCAAGGCUUUGAUUGGUAGUCGGCCUUGGAGGGUAGUCAGCCACAUGGGUACUAAGGUACGGCGCAGACUCCAACGGGAGGCAGCAGGGGAGAAUAUUGCACAAUGGUCGCAAGCCUGAUACGACAGCCCCGCGAGCGUGAUGACGGCCUACGGGUUGUGAACCGCUUUCACCUGUUACGAAGCGUUAGUGACGUUAAUGGGUGAAUAAGCACCGGCUAACUACGUG
rnacentral:rRNA from 1 species